CCAAUAGCGUAUAUUAAAGUUGUUGCAGUUAAAAAGCUCGUAGUUGAAUUUCGGGAUCAAUGCGUCGGUCGUGCCUUCGGUACGUACUGGUAUGAUUGGUUUCUCCUUUCUGACGAACCAUGAUGUCAUUAAUUUGGUGUUAUGGGAAGUUAGGACUGUUACUUUGAAAAAAUUAGAGUGUUUAAAGCAGGCUUUAGCUUGAAUACAUUAGCAUGGAAUAAUGAAAUAGGACGUUCGAACCUAUUUUGUUGGUUUCUAGGAUCAACGUAAUGAUUAAGAAGGAUAGUUGGGGGCAUUAGUAUUCAAUGGUCAGAGGUGAAAUUAUUGGAUUUAUUGAAGACUAACUACUGCGAAAGCAUUUGCCAAGGAUGUUUUCAUUAAUCAAGAACGAAAGUUAGGGGAUCGAAGACGAUCAGAUACCGUCGUAGUCUUAACCAUAAACUAUGCCGACUAGGGAUCGGAUGAUGUUAAUUUUUUAAUGACUCAUUCGGCGCCUUACG
rnacentral:rRNA from 1 species